rnacentral:rRNA from 1 species
AUUGAACGCUGGCGGCAGGCCUAACACAUGCAAGUCGAGCGGAUGAAGGGAGCUUGCUCCUGGAUUCAGCGGCGGACGGGUGAGUAAUGCCUAGGAAUCUGCCUGGUAGUGGGGGAUAACGUCCGGAAACGGGCGCUAAUACCGCAUACGUCCUGAGGGAGAAAGUGGGGGAUCUUCGGACCUCACGCUAUCAGAUGAGCCUAGGUCGGAUUAGCUAGUUGGUGGGGUAAAGGCCUACCAAGGCGACGAUCCGUAACUGGUCUGAGAGGAUGAUCAGUCACACUGGAACUGAGACACGGUCCAGACUCCUACGGGAGGAAGCAGUGGGGAAUAUUAGACGAUGGGCGAAAGCCUGAUCCAGCCAUGCCGCGUGUGUGAAGAAGGUCUUCGGAUUGUAAAGCACUUUAAGUUGGGAGGAAGGGCAGUAAGUUAAUACCUUGCUGUUUUGACGUUACCAACAGAAUAAGCACCGGCUAACUUCGUG